rnacentral:rRNA from 1 species
CCUACGGGCGGCAGUAGUGAGGAAUAUUGGUCAAUGGACGAGAGUCUGAACCAGCCAAGUAGCGUGAAGGAUGACUGCCCUAUGGGUUGUAAACUUCUUUUAUAUGGGAAUAAAACGUUCCACGUGUGGGAUUUUGUAUGUACCAUAUGAAUAAGGAUCGGCUAACUCCGUGCCAGCAGCCGCGGUAAUACGGAGGAUCCGAGCGUUAUCCGGAUUUAUUGGGUUUAAAGGGAGCGUAGGUGGAUUGUUAAGUCAGUUGUGAAAGUUUGCGGCUCAACCGUAAAAUUGCAGUUGAAACUGGCAGUCUUGAGUACAGUAGAGGUGGGCGGAAUUCGUGGUGUAGCGGUGAAAUGCUUAGAUACCACGAAGAACUCCGAUUGCGAAGGCAGUUCACUGGACUGCAACUGACACUGAGGCUCGAAAGUGUGGGUAUCAAACAGGAUUAGAUACCCGAGUAGUC